rnacentral:rRNA from 1 species
UUAAGCAUAUCAAUAAGCGGAGGAAAAGAAACCAACAGGGAUUGCCUCAGUAACGGCGAGUGAAGCGGCAACAGCCCAGAUUUGAAAUCCGGUUCUUUCUAAGGACCUGAGUUGUAAUCUGUAGAGGAUGUCGCUGACUAAGAGUAUCCCCGAAGUCCUUUGGAACGAGGUACCGCAGAGGGUGAGAGUCCCGUGCGGGGAUUGCUGGAAAGUCAAUGUGCGACUCCUUCGGCGAGUCGAGUAGUUUGGGAAUGCUGCUCUAAAUGGGAGGUAAAUUCCUUCUAAGGCUAAAUAUCGGCCGGAGACCGAUAGCGCACAAGUAGAGUGAUCGAAAGAUGAAAAGCACUUUGAAAAGAGGGUUAAAUAGUACGUGAAAUUGUUGAAAGGGAAGCGCCCACGACCAGACUUGUAUUCGACCAAUCGUCCCGCGCUCGUCGCGGGAUCUCUUGGCUGUGGUACAGGCCAGCAUCGAUUCUUACCAGGGGAGAAGCGCAGUGGGAAUGUAGCUCCUCUCGGGGAGUGUUAUAGCCUAUUGCUCGACAUCCUGAUUGGGAUCGAGGCCCGCGUUCUACAAGGAUGCUGGCGUAAUGGUCGCUGGCGACCCGUCUUGAAACACGGACCAAGGAGUCGAGGUUUCCCGCGAGUGUGUGGGUGACAAACCCGCCCGCGGAAUGAAAGUGAACGUAGGUGAGAGCUCUCACGAGUGCAUCACCGACCGAUCCCAAAGUUUUUCUGAGGGAAUCGAGUAUGAGCGGGGAGCCUCGGACCCGAAAGAUGACGAACUAUGCCUGCAUAGAAUGAAGCCAGAGGAAACUCUGGUGGAGGUUCGCAGCGGUUCUGACGUGCAAAUCGAUCGUCAAAUGUGGGCAUGGGGGCGAAAGACUAAUCGAGUCAUCUAGUAGCUGGUUACCGCCGAA